AAUCCAUAGGUUAAUGAGGCGAACCGGGGGAACUGAAACAUCUAAGUACCCCGAGGAAAAGAAAUCAACCGAGAUUCCCCCAGUAGCGGCGAGCGAACGGGGAGGAGCCCAGAGCCUGAAUCAGCAUGUGUGUUAGUGGAAGCGUCUGGAAAGGCGCGCGAUACAGGGUGACAGCCCCGUACACAAAAGCGCAUGUGCUGUGAGCUCGAUGAGUAGGGCGGGACACGUGGUAUCCUGUCUGAAUAUGGGGGGACCAUCCUCCAAGGCUAAAUACUCCUGACUGACCGAUAGUGAACCAGUACCGUGAGGGAAAGGCGAAAAGAACCCCGGCGAGGGGAGUGAAAAAGAACCUGAAACCGUGUACGUACAAGCAGUGGGAGCCCCACCACCAAAGCGUUUCGCUUUGUGUGGUGCACAAAGAAGCGUAACGACAGCACUGAAUGACGGUUAACGGAGCGCAAGCGACGUUCAACA
rnacentral:rRNA from 1 species